AUGGAAAAAAAAUAGCAAGAAAACUAUUGAUGGCCGGUUAUCAACAAUUUCCAAUUGUAAAUUGUAAUGAAAGAGAGGAUGAAAAAAAGAAUACAACUCCUAUUUAAAGUAACUAAAAAAGGAAAAUAACUUGUCCAGCGAAUAGAGAACAAUUGAAAAAUUUUUUUCCUCCGGAUCAGCAUGACAUUUCGACUCUUUAUAUCGUGUAAUACGUGGUAUCGAUUAACUUGCGUCGAAUGUACUGACUCAUCGCACCGUGAUCCGCCUCCGUAAUUUGCUCUGUUGUAGGGUGUGGCGGUUUGGGGGAGAAUCUCGUCUGUAGGAGUCGUUCUUCUAAUAAUUAAAAUGAAAGUAAUACAGAUAUACGAAACUAAAUGAACGCAAAAUCAGUUCCAAUAACCCAGUAGUAUUGCAGAGGAGCCGAAUUGACAGAUAUCUGAAUUCUAAUUACGUCAAAAGGAGAUACAAGGAUUUCAACUAUGGGCAACGCGAUGACUAAACAUUCGACAUCCGACGAUACUUCCUACUCGGGUAGUACAAAUAUCCUACCGUCAACCGGAUCAGGAAAUGAAAACGUUUCUCUCUUUUCCAUUCCUAUAUUUAAAUGCUAAAUCGAUCCAUGCUGUGUUUAUGAAAUGAUUUUACAAAGUCGGCGAGGGUGUUUCUAUUGAUAAUUGAAUUCAUUUCAAAUCUUCCGCGUGAUAUGAAACCCAAGUUGACGAGAGACGAACGUAAUUAUCUGGUGUAUGGAGACAACGUGACGUCAUUGCUAGCGCAUUGUUAUAGCAAUCAUUGAUCUUGAUAUUGGAUUUUAAGAAACGAGUACAUUGGAUAGGGAAAACAGAAGAGUGUUUCGAGAAGCAGUUGGAAAAUCUAACCAAAGAACGAACAUUGUCAGCUAUUGCUCGUAGAUCAAAUGAGAGGUUUUUGUUACAGUUCACUGGCCGUGAUGUCACCCUGAAUUACAGCUCCAAUUUAAAGAAAGAAUAGAAAGAAAAAUACGUAUGCGUAUAUCUUAUGCGCGGACUAUGAAUUAUAUCCAUCGUCCUCGUCUUUAUGUGAUCUGAUACUGUGUUCAUUAUGCGAUUGAGAAUACCUAGGAAGAGGAAAAAGAAGGUGAAACAUUUAUGCUUGACGAUGAAGUUUGGAAAGACCAAUGUGGCGCAGUUUUGUAAAGCUUGGAACAGUGGCACGAGAAAGUGAGAUUUUAUCAAAGGAUCCAAACGUAAGCGGCUUUAGCUAGAGGAUAUAUGAGAUUGUACUCGGAAAGAUUUGUCGGAGGGCCGCCCGACGUAUACCGAAGCGGUAUAUGGAUCAAAGGGGAAUGGGAAUGAUACUGAGGGAUAUUUCUGAUACAAAAUAAUUUAACAUACAGGGACGAUCAAAGGAAUCAACGUUUUUAGAAGUAAUAACGUUGGCAGGGGAAUACUUUUAAGUUAUACGUGAAAUAGAAAGUCCACGUUUACGUCAUCGUUAUUCCCUCAAUUUAACUGAAGUAACCAUUCGAUAGAAUUAAAGAAGGAGAAGUGUUGAAUUCUACGUUUCAAAUUGUUUGUCAUAAUAAUCACGACAUGUACUUAAAAAAUAUUCGUAAUAUUUAAAGUGCGUUUUUCAUAGAUAUGGAAAUUUGUUCGAAAUAAUUGUUGCGUAGCGCGAAUUACCCUUUAGAUACAUUUUGAUGGGGAUUUAGUGAUAAUGCAUGUAUGUAGUACGUGCUCCCGCACUUAUCGUGAAGUACCUUCGUUUUGAACCCUUCGUUAUAUCUCCCCAUCUGCGUAUGCUCUGGUGCACGCUUGUCUGCAUCAGUUGAAGUGGCCGGGAUUGAGUGCGCCGUCGUGUGAACGUUUACCAAGCGGACAAUUGGACCCAGCAGGACUUGGAAUUAAUAUGGAAGUUUGGAUAAGAUACGUGACGAGUUACUUAUAUCCGAUCUCUUCGUACCUCGUUUAAAUUUAAUAUCAAGAUCAAUGAUUGCUAUAAGAAUGCGCUAGCAAUGGUGUCACGUUGUCUCCAUACACCGGAUAAUUACGUCCUUUUCUCGCCAACUUGGGUUUCAUAUCACGUGGAAGAUUUGAAGUGAAUUCAAUUAUCAAUAGAAACACCCUCGCCGACUUUGUAAAAUCUGUAUAAAAAGUCAAUAAAUUAUUACAAAACAUA